UCCUAACUUCAUCUCAACCUUAUAUAUACAUCAUCAAUUUCAAGAUCCAAAAGUCUAAAAUCCUUGAACUCAAAAACAGUCAAAAGGAAAUCAAUAUGGAACCACAUUUCUUAGUUCUUAUCCUUUAUUUCCUUCUCUUUUUCAUUGGUGGAGAUGCUGCAGUUUUCACAUUAAAAAA